CUCACUUCUGUUCCAAUUUUUCCCUUUCCUCCUUCCACCUCCUCCCCUAGAUGGCAAGCAGUCUUAUACAUGUUAAAUAUGUCGCAGUAUAUCCUAGAUACAAUAUAUGUGUGCAGAACCAUACAGUUCUCUUGUUACACAGGGAGAAUUGGAUCAGAAGGUAAAAAUAACCUGGGAAGAAAAACAAAAAUGCAGUUUACACUCAUUUCCCAAUGUUCCUUCUCUGGGUGUAGCUGCUUCUGUCCAUCAUUGAUCAGUUGCAACUGAGUCUCUUUGUCGAAGAAAUCCACUUCCAUCAGAUUACAUUUUCAUAGAGUAUCGUUGUAUAAUAAUCUCCUGGUUCUGCUCAUUUCACUUAGCAUCAGUUCAUGUCUCUCCAAGCUUCUCUGUAUUAAUCCUGCUGGUCAUUUCUUACAGAAAAAUAAUAUUCCAUAACAUUCAUAUGCCACAAUUUACCCACCCAUUCUCCAAUUGAUGGGCAUCCAUUCAUUUUCCAGUUUCUAGCCACUACAAACAGGGCUUCCACAAACAUUUUGGCACAUACAGGUCCCUUUCCCUUCUUUAGUAUUUCUUUGGGAUAUAUAGUUUUACAGAUUUAACAGAUUUGAACUUAACAGACAGACAGACAGACACACACACAUUCCCCCUAAUCUUCAAUUCAUAGUUUUAAAAUUGUAUUAUUAUUUAAUUGACACUUAUUAAACCCUACUUGGCUGAAAUGGGACUCAGUUCCUGCCUUCAAAACACUUAUAGUAUGUGAAGAUAAGGCACUUAUAGAACAAAAAUUAUGUACAAGCACAUUCAUUGAAAAAAUUUAAUUAAAUGUUAGAAAUCCAAGACUGGCAUCAGAGAACCUGAGUUUGAAUCUUUCCUUUGUUAGUCAUUCCCUAUGUGAUCUUGGACAAGUUUGGGCUUCAGUUCCAUCUUCUAAAUGGGUGAAUUAGAGGAGAUGACCUCAGAGAUUCCUUCUAGAAAAGUCUAAAUCCUCAAAAAAGAGCAACUAGCACAGAAUUAUUAGUAGAUAAUAAUAAACUAACAUUUACAAAGCUCUUUAAAAUCUACUAAACACUUUACAUAUUAUCUUACUUUAUCCUUGCUAUAAUCUAGGAACUAGGGGCAUAGUUAUCUCCAUUUUUGAGUUGAGAAAUUCAGAUGAGAUUGUGAUUUUAGUUCUGAGACAAAUCAGAUUGAUUUCCUUGACUUCAAG
rnacentral:lncRNA from 1 species